rnacentral:ncRNA from 1 species
GAACGUUUCGUUCCGUACGCGGGAAUAAAGGUCGGUUGCGCGAAACCGUCUUUGAAAACCGCCCCGCGGGACGACUCCGGCAAGGAUUGCCGGUGUAAGC